UUUGGUCCUCGGUAGUGGUUUCCGGAAAGUUUGUUAAUUAAAUUUGCCGUGAACUUCGAUCGAUGAUCCAA
ncrna:unclassified sequences Actino-pnp RNA